AUUGAACGCUGGCGGCAUGCUUUACACAUGCAAGUCGAGCGGCAGCGCGGGGGCAACCCUGGCGGCGAGCGGCGAACGGGUGAGUAAUGCAUCGGAACGUAUCCUCGAGUGGGGGAUAACCCAGCGAAAGUUGGGCUAAUACCGCAUGAGCUCUGAGGAGGAAAGCGGGGGACCUGCGAGGGCCUCGCGCUGGAGGAGCGGCCGAUGUCCGAUUAGCUAGUUGGUGGGGUAAAGGCUUACCAAGGCGACGAUCGGUAGCUGGUCUGAGAGGAUGAUCAGCCACACGGGGACUGGGACACGGCCCAGACUCCUACGGGAGGCAGCAGUGGGGAAUUGUGGACAAUGGGGGCAACCCUGAUCCAGCCAUGCCGCGUGAGUGAAGAAGGCCUUCGGGUUGUAAAGCUCUUUCGGACGGAACGAAAUGGGCGGGACUAAUACUCCUGUCUGAUGACGGUACCGUAAGAAGAAGCACCGGCUAACUACGUG
rnacentral:rRNA from 1 species